rnacentral:tRNA from 1 species
GCGCCUGUAGCUCAGUCGGUCAGAGCGCCAAGCUUAUACCUUGGUGGUCGUA